UCUUUAUAUUAAUAUUAUUUGGACUUAUUUGAACAAUAAUGAUAAAGAAGUGGUUCAUUAUUUUUUAAUUAAUGCACUUUAAUAAGGUGGAAUGGAAAGAAACCCAGAGAGCAAAGUGCAUUACUUAAAGAUGCAGUAUAUACUUUUCUCAUUUUUAAACAGCACAUAUUUAUUAAAAGAAAAAAAGUAAUUUAUGAUUAUUUAAAAUAAAAUUUAAAAGUAGAGUGACUGUCGGGUUAAAGGACCUUCCACGUAGCUAUCUUCCAGGGGGAGGGCUCAAGCGGCUUCACUCCUCAAUGUCUGCACUGAGCCAGUUCAAUGCCAGCCAGGCCAGGAAGGAGUGCAGGACCCAUCUGCCAAGCACAGAGCAUCUCAGUUGGACUGGAGCACAGUGCUCCCUAGAGCCUGCCUUUCCCUGCCCUUCCUCUUCCACUGUACUGCCCUGUGGGGCUCUCCUAGCCCUGCCAAGGACCCCGUCUCCUUAAUCUCCAGUGCUCUUAAGUAAUAGAGUCAUUAUAAGUGACCUUCAGGAUCACUUCAUGCCAUACCCUCCUGUUAACUGCAGCCCAAAGACAGGAAUUAGCUUUCCCAAAUCACACAGUUGACAGCAGACCUUCCCACCCCCGUUAGAGUGUAUAGUGUGGUCAUCAUGUUUACAUUGUGACAUCCAGCCCUAAGGAUGGCUGGGGCUGCUCAGGCAUCCAGGAAAAGUGGAGAGUGCUGCCACCUAGUGACAGCAUAUAGAUUUGGGCAGUGAACAGGGAUUGCCAUGCCCCAUCUUCACCCCUUGCCCCUCGCCAUCACCCCGACUCUCAGCACAGCACAAACCCUGCAAACCCAAAGAGAAUAUUAAUACUUGAAGCAAGAAGGGUGCAUGCCAGUCCCUCUCAGUCAUGGCCAGGGGAUGCCAGGGCUUGCGCCCCUGGACUCCUAGCCCUGCCCAGGGCAAGAGGGCUUUUCCCUAGAGCUACUGAGCUGCUUUGUGAUGUUGGAGGGUACUGCUGGCAGCAGGUAGAGGAGGGAAGGGGCCUGGGGCUCUGACCCAUCUGGAGGAAAACCAGAUCGGACUAAAAAAGGAAAAAAAAAGAAAUCUCAGCAGUGUCCAAACCUAGUUUUCCAUUAGUUGCGAUUGAAAAUGUGAAAUAACGUUGUAUUGCUGUAUACUGCAACUUUAAUCAUAAUGAGCCCUUCUGAGGUCAUUAUUGAGGUUUAUAUAAUGCCUGAAGAUGCAUCCUUUGGUGCUUUUUUCUUUCAGUUUAAAGACUUUAUUACAAGGGAAAAAGAUGUCUUCAUCUCUCUCCCACUUUGUAACAGGGGCCUGGCUGGGGUCUCUGGCAGCCAUCAUGCUAUUCCCACUAGGCCAAGGGACCCCAAGGGCAGCAAGAGGGAGUUGGAAGGGACAACCUGAACUGCAGGUGUGCCAGCUGUGACCGGGCCCCCUCGCCAGCCCUUGGCCCCCUCCACCCCCAAGCCUGGCCCCAUGGGCCCCUCUUUCUUCCUCCACUGUUCUCCAUCUUGACGAAGGCAUUAUAUAGAAUCGUUUUAAUCACUUUCAGAUGUUAGAGCAGCAUAUUUUACAGGCAUUUAUAUCCAUUGCUUUCCUCAGCAAGGCAUGUUACUACUUUUAUCAUCUAAGAAAAAAAAAAAAAAGACAAGGGAAUUUCGGUCAAGCAUUAUUUCCAUAUUAGUAGUAUUUGCAGAAUAGGUGUAGAACUAUUUAAGUUUAAACCUUGGUUUGGUAGUUUUUUGUUUUGUUUUUAAGGAAAAAAAGAAAAAGUAACCCCUACGUUUCCUGUUUUUUGUAUUUAACUAAUAUAUAAUUUCUAUAAGGUUACUCACUUCCCCUCCCCCUCCAAAUACUUUGCAUUCUCAAUCGAAAAUGAAAACAAUCUGAGAGACAGGAAAAGUGCAAUAUUAUCAAGAGGGAUGCCAGGGCUUGUAGGACAGUGGCGGGGAGGGCCAGCAGCCCCACGUGCUGCUGGGGGAGGUGGGGCUCUUGGAAGGAGUCAGCGGUGGAGCCAACAGGUGACCUUUUAUCCCUCCUCCCCCUUCCCUGGCAAGAUGGCAGGGGUCUCUGCCAGAGGGCAGCCCCUUCUGCUGGGUGUUGUCCACCCAGAAGAACGGGAUUCAGGGAAGUGGCAUGGGGCGCUCGGCCUCCCAGGGCCCCAGCCCUCGGCGCACAGCAAGGACCUCCAGGAACUUCUCCUUGUUUUCAUUUCCGUUCUUUUUCAGCCAGCUGCUCAGAAAGACCUGUCCUAAAAAUCACCCUCAGCAGCCCUCUCUCACCCCAAUCUCUUGAUGUUUGGGCCAUGAUCCUUUUGAUGUAUGUUUGAGUCUUUCUAAAACUAUGUAACCUCAAGUUCAGUUUUAUGAGCAGGAACCCUCAGUGUAACCAAAUCCUUCAGGGGGGUAUGUGGGUGCCUUGAGCCUAGCGUCCUCCGGUGACACCAGUUCCCACAAGCCUGCAGCUGGGCCUGGCGCUGAGCUGGGGCCACCCAUUCAUCUCAAUGACUUCAGCCCGAGUGAGGCGUGAUCCUGCCUCUGCUCAACACCCCAACAGUUCCCAGAAGAUCUCGAAAAAACGUGUUGGAGAAGCCUGCGGAGGUCCCUGCGGACAUAACUUCCCCCGGCAGAUCUAGCAGAAGCAGCCUAGGCCAUUGUCCCGGGCUCCAAAAUGAAGAUGUGGAAAGGAGGCGCCGCUGGGUGUGGAAGUGCUGAGGGGUUCAGACAGGGCCACCACCUGCAAACGCGUGUCUAGCAGGCUGCCUCCCAGCCUCUGCCGUGCAUGUCACCACUGUGGGAACCCCCGUGUCCUGAGAGCUGCUUGCCCUCGGUUCUUGUGUGGCUGAGGGUGGGUCAGGCUGGUCGGGGUGAGAAUUCUCUCACCUGCCUGUGUAGGCACAUCACCCCCGAUCUAGACCGCCGGCCCCAACUGAACACUUCACGGGGUCAUGUGGAGGGCUCCCCCUUGACAUUACUGAGCUUCUUGCCUCGAUUAUGAUCUCUGGCUGGGGGUGGCCUCCGGUUCUCAAGUUCUGUGAUCAGCCAGGGACAGAACAGGGCCAUGACCUACGGCUUCAUUUCAGGAGGACAGCCCCUCUGAUGGUGGAGUCCCUCCCCGUUUUGUCCUGUACACCUGGGUCCUCAGGCCGCAAGUCGGGCACACUGGUGCUUAUAGACUGGGUGGAGGGCUCUGCCUUCCUGGGCCUUGAUCCCAACCUGCAUGUAAAGUUGGUUUUACCACGCUAUCCCCCGUUCCCCAAUCCUAUCUUUCUAAUCUUGAGUUUGCACUUGACAAUCAGCUUCCUCUCCCAUCCCAGAACUUAGUGGCCUUAGAGAAUAGGUCCCUGCGAUGAAGGUCCCUCCUUUGCUCCCAUUUCCAUCCUGGCUAAUGGGCUGGACCUCAGGAGGCAAGAAAGAGGAAGAAAGAAUUAUCGUUUUAAAGCAAAAGUAUGGGUCGAGCACGUUGAAAGUAAGUGAGAGGCAUGUCGGCGAGAUGAAUGUGUGAGAGACUGGGGUGGCUGGGUUUUCCAUCCCUUCCCCGGGAAGGUGACUCCCAGAAGAGGAUGUCUGCUAGGCAGAAAGGGAAAAGAGUGAGGAGGUUGAGUCAGGAUUUAGAGUCUGGAGUUUUGUCUUUAGUAGAAAGAAGAAAGGAGUGAAUUCUGAGUGUUUCAAAGGGAAGCGAGCCAGUAGGGAGGAAACAAUGAUUCAACACCCAAGGGCCCAGACAGAAUAGGCUGGGAAAGUCUCAAGAUUUGGCUGUAGAAGAAGCUGACCAGAGGAAACUGCUAGUUGCUGGACCACAAGCUGGGUCGCCAGCAUGUUCUUAACGGUCACUGAUUUACUUAGUAGAAAGCCAAAGUUGCCAGCAACAAACCAAUCUUUGGAGAACAUUCCUCCAUCUCUUAGCUUCCAGGCUGAUUUUGCCCACCUUUCUUUGUCCAAUCUAGAACUGGCCUCUCAAAUUACUUGAACCAGAGACCAGUAACCAGAAUGGUUUAUGCAGUAGGGACCCACCAUCCCCAGACUGAAACCUCGGGGUCCAGACACCAUCCAGCAUAUCUGGGGGGAAGGCAACCUCAUUUGCUCUUCUGUUGACACCAGUUAUUCUUGAGUAUCUCUAACGAUGUCUAUGGUGUUUCAGUUUGCUGAGCCUGCCUCACUAGUGUGACUCAGAAGACGGUGCAAUGCAGUCAUCAUGUUAGUGGCCUGUGAGCAAGGCAUACUGCUCUUGAGCAUUUCAAAGAAAGGUCAACAGAGCCUCCAUUCUUGGAUCUGCAACUUGGUCUCUGUAAGAGGUCUUCUUUAAAUCCAGGACCCAGGAUAGGAAAAGGGUUUCCCUGACAGUUUACAGGAAACCUGCAGGAAGGCGACUUCUGAAGAAGGCAGGUGUGAGUGGCAGGUUUGUGAAGCGUGGGUUUGUGGACUGCAUGCUUGCACGUAAGCUAGCUGGAUGUCUUUGGGGCGCUCCUCACAGUGUCCACGCAACCCCUCCCAGCUCCUAGUGGGACCUGUGGGGCUGACGGAGGUCAUUCCCCUUUCUCCCCUCAGCAGAGAAACUGAAGAAAAGGACAUUGAAUUCAGUGCAGUUCGAGUGCUAAAAAAUUUCCAGGCUCAAUGGUGGUGCUAAACUGUCUCCAUGUUUCUAAUAUUUUUAAUAAUGGGUUGGUUUUUUUUCAGUUGUUCUCAUCACAAAAAUGCAGUGUCCUUGGGGAAGGGACCCAGCCCCUUGACCUGCCACUUUCCAGGUGUCCUUUAUCCUUUUGACGGGACUCUGGUCUGCAGAAAAUGUUCUGUCUUGGCAUGCUUCUAGACUGUAAGAUUUGGGUUGUUUUGUUUUGUAUUUUAUGUUUACAUGCAUCUUGUAUUUCCCC
ensembl:lncRNA